UGGCUGUCAGUCUAGCUUAUGCACUUAUCAAUAUUCUUUUAAGUCGGUGAAAGUGUAUAAAAUGUUAACAAUUUUUAAAAAUUUUAUUAUUAUUAUAUCGCUUUAUUACCUAUAUGUAUCGUGCACUUGCUCACCACAACCUAAAGUACCGCCAGUUGAUCAAAAUGAGGAAGAUGAAGUACUUGCAGUUAAACAUGAAAAACGAGCACAAAAACUGGUGUUACCUUUUGCCAAAUAUGUGAACAUGAUCCCUGAUACUUUAGAUAAAGGUGAAUUUAAGGGCAAAUUGGAUAUGUUGGCUCGGCGAGUGGUAAUGGUUGACGAAAUGUUGAAAGGAUGGGGAGCUUUGAAUACGUGAGAAGGACAAAGCAGCUAUGUAUCAAUUACUUCUUGGACUCACAUCUAGAGUUGACAGCUUAGAAAGGAUCUUGGCCCCAGGUGAGGAGUUGAAAGGACAUCGCAGCAAGAGAUGGAUGCAUAUUUUUACUAAGAAAACUCCAGCUGUAGAAAGUCUCCGUAAGAAGGUACAUGCUGCUGGAAUGACUGAGAUAUCUUUCGCUGAAGAAAUAGAACGUUUAAUUCAGAAACGAAACGGUUGUGCUGGACAUGCAAACAUUCCGUUACCCCGAUUAAUUAAAGAAAAAACGAUUCAAGGAGCACUCCAGAUCAUGGAGAUUAAUGAUGAAGAUGAUAAAGCUGUUGAAACGAUGAAAAUCUUGGUAGCUCCCGUAAAAGGUUUGGACUUUUCAACAACCGACCCAACUGCUGUCACCCAAGUUUGAUUUUUUUUCAAAAAAUCAAUUUUUAAAAUUUUUAUACAACUACAUAUACAUAGUUUGGUAGGUAAUGAGGAGGAGUCGAUCAUUGAAAAAUGAAAAUGAAAAUAAAAUAUCUCUUAAAAC